rnacentral:lncRNA from 1 species
UCCCACCCUUUUUUCCUUCUGCCUGGAAGCCCUGCCUGAGUUGGUCCUGUGAAAUUGACAAGGAUUGGUGUAAAGCUGAUAGCUUCAGCAUAGGAGAUUGGAGAAAGAUUUUGUCAUGGAUAGAAUACAGGGCUUGGAGUUAAGAAGACCUUUGUUCAAAUCCUGUCACUAAACGUGUUACCCUGGAAGUCUUCACAUGCUGGUUAGAAGGUGGACACCAAAGAAGGAAAACAAUCCUGAAAAAGUCUUGGGAAGCCCUCAUGUCAAAGAAAUCUCACCCUGGAAGUUCAUUUGUCUCUGGACUUUUGACAGUGUAAGUGUACUCUGCCCCUGCACCCUCCCCCUUCUUUUGAAUGGCUACUUCCUUACAGAGUCUCCAUUUUAAGAAAAAUCUGAG